rnacentral:rRNA from 1 species
GUGGGGAAUUUUGGACAAUGGGGGCAACCCUGAUCCAGCCAUGCCGCGUGCGGGAAGAAGGCCUUCGGGUUGUAAACCGCUUUUGUCAGGGAAGAAAUCCUUUGGGUUAAUACCUCGGAGGGAUGACGGUACCUGAAGAAUAAGCACCGGCUAACUACGUGCCAGCAGCCGCGGUAAUACGUAGGGUGCGAGCGUUAAUCGGAAUUACUGGGCGUAAAGCGUGCGCAGGCGGUUUUGUAAGAUCGAUGUGAAAUCCCCGGGCUCAACCUGGGAACUGCAUUGGUGACUGCAAGGCUGGAGUGCGGCAGAGGGGGAUGGAAUUCCGCGUGUAGCAGUGAAAUGCGUAGAUAUGCGGAGGAACACCGAUGGCGAAGGCAAUCCCCUGGGCCUGCACUGACGCUCAUGCACGAAAGCGUGGGGAGCAAACAGGAUUAGAAACCCCAGUAGUCC